AGAGUUUGAUCAUGGCUCAGAUUGAACGCUGGCGGCAGGCCUAACACAUGCAAGUCGAGCGGUAGCACAGAGAGCUUGCUCUCGGGUGACGAGCGGCGGACGGGUGAGUAAUGUCUGGGAAACUGCCUGAUGGAGGGGGAUAACUACUGGAAACGGUAGCUAAUACCGCAUAAUGUCGCAAGACCAAAGUGGGGGACCUUCGGGCCUCAUGCCAUCAGAUGUGCCCAGAUGGGAUUAGCUAGUAGGUGGGGUAAUGGCUCACCUAGGCGACGAUCCCUAGCUGGUCUGAGAGGAUGACCAGCCACACUGGAACUGAGACACGGUCCAGACUCCUACGGGAGGCAGCAGUGGGGAAUAUUGCACAAUGGGCGCAAGCCUGAUGCAGCCAUGCCGCGUGUGUGAAGAAGGCCUUCGGGUUGUAAAGCACUUUCAGCGGGGAGGAAGGCGUUAAGGUUAAUAACCUUGGCGAUUGACGUUACCCGCAGAAGAAGCACCGGCUAACUCCGUGCCAGCAGCCGCGGUAAUACGGAGGGUGCAAGCGUUAAUCGGAAUUACUGGGCGUAAAGCGCACGCAGGCGGUCUGUCAAGUCGGAUGUGAAAUCCCCGGGCUCAACCUGGGAACUGCAUUCGAAACUGGCAGGCUAGAGUCUUGUAGAGGGGGGUAGAAUUCCAGGUGUAGCGGUGAAAUGCGUAGAGAUCUGGAGGAAUACCGGUGGCGAAGGCGGCCCCCUGGACAAAGACUGACGCUCAGGUGCGAAAGCGUGGGGAGCAAACAGGAUUAGAUACCCUGGUAGUCCACGCCGUAAACGAUGUCGAUUUGGAGGUUGUGCCCUUGAGGCGUGGCUUCCGGAGCUAACGCGUUAAAUCGACCGCCUGGGGAGUACGGCCGCAAGGUUAAAACUCAAAUGAAUUGACGGGGGCCCGCACAAGCGGUGGAGCAUGUGGUUUAAUUCGAUGCAACGCGAAGAACCUUACCUGGUCUUGACAUCCACAGAACUUUCCAGAGAUGGAUUGGUGCCUUCGGGAACUGUGAGACAGGUGCUGCAUGGCUGUCGUCAGCUCGUGUUGUGAAAUGUUGGGUUAAGUCCCGCAACGAGCGCAACCCUUAUCCUUUGUUGCCAGCGGUUAGGCCGGGAACUCAAAGGAGACUGCCAGUGAUAAACUGGAGGAAGGUGGGGAUGACGUCAAGUCAUCAUGGCCCUUACGACCAGGGCUACACACGUGCUACAAUGGCAUAUACAAAGAGAAGCGACCUCGCGAGAGCAAGCGGACCUCAUAAAGUAUGUCGUAGUCCGGAUUGGAGUCUGCAACUCGACUCCAUGAAGUCGGAAUCGCUAGUAAUCGUAGAUCAGAAUGCUACGGUGAAUACGUUCCCGGGCCUUGUACACACCGCCCGUCACACCAUGGGAGUGGGUUGCAAAAGAAGUAGGUAGCUUAACCUUCGGGAGGGCGCUUACCACUUUGUGAUUCAUGACUGGGGUGAAGUCGUAACAAGGUAACCGUAGGGGAACCUGCGGUUG
rnacentral:rRNA from 1 species